CCUACGGGGGGCAGCAGUGGGGGAUAUUGCACAAUGGGCGAAAGCCUGAUGCAGCGACGCCGCGUGAGGGAAGACGGUCUUCGGAUUGUAAACCUCUGUCUUUGGGGAAGAAAUCAGACGGUACCCAAAGAGGAAGCUCCGGCUAACUACGUGCCAGCAGCCGCGGUAAUACGUAGGGAGCGAGCGUUGUCCGGAAUUACUGGGUGUAAAGGGAGCGUAGGCGGGCUUGUAAGUUGAAUGUCUAAUCCACCGGCUCAACCGGUGAUCGCGUUCAAAACUGCAGGUCUUGAGUGAAGUAGAGGCAG
rnacentral:rRNA from 1 species